rnacentral:rRNA from 1 species
UUACGGGAGGCAGCAGUGGGGAAUCUUGCACAAUGGGGGCAACCCUGAUGCAGCGACGCCGCGUGAGCGAUGAAGCCCUUCGGGGCGUAAAGCUCUUUCGGCCGGAACGAUAAUGACGGUACCGGAAGAAGAAGCUGCGGCUAACUACGUGCCAGCAGCCGCGGUAAUACGUAGGCAGCAAGCGUUGUUCGGAGUUACUGGGCGUAAAGAGUGCGUAGGCGGUUCUCUAAGUUCGUUGUGAAAUCUCCCGGCUCAACUGGGAGGGUGCGGCGAAGACUGGGGAGCUGGAGUGUGGGAAAGGCAAGCGGAAUUCCUGGUGUAGCGGUGAAAUGCGUAGAUAUCAGGAGGAACACCGGCGGUGUAGACGGCUUGCUAGACCAUGACUGACGCUGAGGCACGAAAGCGUGGGGAGCAAACAGGAUUAGAUACCCUUGUAGUCC